rnacentral:rRNA from 1 species
AGGAAUUUAAGGACCAACCGGGAUUGCCCUAGUAACGGCGAGUGAAGCGGCAAGAGCUCAAAUUUGAAAGCUGGCCCCCUCGGGGUCCGCAUUGUAAUKGGCAGGSGGAKUGCUUCSGGGGAACGGRSCCCCCAUCUACGUGHACURGAACSGGCCGUCAUAGAAGGGGUGAGAAUCCCGUCUGGGAUGGGGUGGCCGCGCCCGUGUGAAGCUCCUUCGACGAGUCGAGUUGUUUGGGAAUGCAGCUCUAAUUGGGUGGUAAAUUUCAUCUAAAGCUAAAUAUUGGCCGGAGACCGAUAGCGCACAAGUAGAGUGAUCGAAAGAUGAAAAGCACUUUGAAAAGAGAGUUAAACAGCACGUGAAAUUGUUGAAAGGGAAGCGCUUGCGACCAGACUCGCCCGCGGGGUUCAGCCGGCACUCGUGCCGGUGUACUUCCCCGCGGGCGGGCCAGCGUCGGUUUGGGCGGCCGGUCAAAGGCCUCUGGAAGGUAACGCCUCUCGGGGCGUCUUAUAGCCAGGGGUGCCAUGCGGCCUGCCCGGACCGAGGAACGCGCUUCGGCUCGGACGCUGGCAUAAUGGUCGUAAGCGACCCGUCUUGAAACACGGACCAAGGAGUCUAACAUCUACGCGAGUGUUCGGGUGUCAAACCCGUGCGCGCAGUGAAAGCGAACGGAGGUGGGAACCCCCCGGGGUGCACCAUCGACCGAUCCUGAUGUCUUCGGAUGGAUUUGAGUAAGAGCGUAGCUGUUGGGACCCGAAAGAUGGUGAACUAUGCCUGAAUAGGGCGAAGCCAGAGGAAACUCUGGUGGAGGCUCGCAAGCGGUUCUGACGUGCAAAUCGAUCGUCAAAUUUGGGUCCAUAAGGGCGAAAGUGGACUAAUCGAACCAUCUAAGUAGCUGGUCCUCCUGCCGAGGUUUCCCUCAGGAUAGCAGUUACGCGAAUUCAGUUUUAUGAAGGAUAAAAGGCGAAUGAAUUUAAGGAGGCCUUGGGGUUGAAACAACUUUAAUCCUAUUCUCAAACUUUAAAUAUGUAAGAAGCCCCUUGUUAGCUUUAGUUGAAACGUUGGGUAUUAGAAGAUUGAUGCGKUAUUAUAGUC